GCCUGAGUGGCUCAGUUGGUUAAGCAUGGGACUCUUGAUCUCAGCUCAGGUCCUGAUCUCAUGGUUCAUGGGAUUGAGUCCCACAUCAGGCU
rnacentral:tRNA from 1 species